rnacentral:sRNA from 1 species
UGACCAUGGAGUUCGUGAGCUUGGUGGA